rnacentral:rRNA from 1 species
CACCGCCACGGUAAUACAGAGGGUGCGAGCGUUAAUCGGAUUUACUGGGCGUAAAGCGUGCGUAGGCGGCUUUUUAAGUCGGAUGUGAAAUCCCUGAGCUUAACUUAGGAAUUGCAUUCGAUACUGGGAAGCUAGAGUAUGGGAGAGGAUGGUAGAAUUCCAGGUGUAGCGGUGAAAUGCGUAGAGAUCUGGAGGAAUACCGAUGGCGAAGGCAGCCAUCUGGCCUAAUACUGACGCUGAGGUACGAAAGCAUGGGGAGCAAACAGGAUUAGAUACCCGUGUAGUCCCUGUCUCUUAUACA